rnacentral:lncRNA from 1 species
CACAAUCAAACAUACUCGCAAGCAGGUUAUCAUCACAAGGGUUUUUCAUGGCUUGUAACUUGGCUGGGCUAAGAAGGAAAUUGGUUUUUUUGGUUAGUAAAGUUCCUUGAGUUAAGAGAGACAUUUAUGAAUUCAUCUUUUAAGAACAACUCCCUUUUCUUUUUCCCAGCUUUCCCUUGCAGUGAGCUUUUUCUUUUUGAAUAUUUCUUUUUCUCACUUUUUGUUUUCCUUUUUGCCUUUUUCUUGCUUUUUCUUUUGAUUGCUCACUGCCUAGAGAGGUGGGUUGUUUCCUGGUAACCGCAAACUUGAACCUUUAUCAGUACCUCAUCAAAUGUUCUCAGCUUAACUCAAGGUAAAGAUUUUUCAAAAAGGAUUUUCAAGACAUAUCAGGCUCAAGGUUCAAAGGUUAGAAAAAAUUGUUCUCUUUUCAGUGGGCAAAAAAUAUUUUGAAGGCCAAAAGAAUAAGGAAUAACAAAAGAUGGCCUUGGUCAUAAGAAACCUGCA